rnacentral:rRNA from 1 species
UACGAAGGGGGCUAGCGUUGCUCGGAAUCACUGGGCGUAAAGGGUGCGUAGGCGGGUCUUUAAGUCAGGGGUGAAAUCCUGGAGCUCAACUCCAGAACUGCCUUUGAUACUGAGGAUCUUGAGUAUGGGAGAGGCGAGUGGAACUGCGAGUGUAGAGGUGAAAUUCGUAGAUAUUCGCAAGAACACCAGUGGCGAAGGCGGCUCACUGGCCCAUUACUGACGCUGAGGCACGAAAGCGUGGGGAGCAAACAGG